rnacentral:lncRNA from 1 species
GCCCAGGCCCAGGAAGUUGAGUCCCUGGCGGGGAGGACGGGCAGGUGCGUCCGCGCUGCCGAGCACGAAGUCGCUGGAGGUGCACACCUCGACGACACGCUCACAGAUGGGAGUUCAGACACACACUUCCUGGCUUGCGUGCGAAGCAGGAUCGCAGGGCAAUAAUCCCUCCAUCUUCCCCGGGAGGUUCUGUGCCUGCAAGAUACACGGCACCCACUCGAUGCCACCGGGCCGCCACUGUCUGGGCCUGGGAUCUUGACCCACUUGCCUUCUGUACUUCAGGGUUUAGAGGCAGCAGCAGCAGCAGCAGCCGUCUUGGAUAACUUUUGAUGGAUUCAGGAGGCCUGGAGACCUCUUGUGUGCAGGCACCUGGACAUAAUUUUCAUUCAGUCCUGCCCAAUGUUCCGACCUGGACUGCGGUGCCGACGAGGAAACCGAGGCUUAGCGGGAUCCCUAAUCCAAGGCCACGACGAGUGAGCCUGCUGGGUUCAAGCCAGGAGCCUGUCCCCAGGGGGCAUUUGUCACAGCCUUACCCUCUUCCGGGAGGCGCAACGCUUACCCUCGUGGACCAACAAUCGAAUUAACAUGCUGAUACACACAUGGGAGGCCAGCAGAAAAGUGACUGGAGUCCAGGGACAUGAUGGAUCAGGAGGAGAAGACGGAGGAAGGCUCAGGCCCCUGUGCCGAGGUGAGAGGGCCCUGCCCCCACCCCACCCCCAGCUCAAGGUC